AAUUUUGGACAAUGGGGGAAACCCUGAUCCAGCCAUCCCGCGUGUAUGAUGAAGGCCUUCGGGUUGUAAAGUACUUUUGGCAGAGAAGAAAAGGCAUCCCCUAAUACGGGAUGCUGCUGACGGUAUCUGCAGAAUAAGCACCGGCUAACUACGUGCCAGCAGCCGCGGUAAUACGUAGGGUGCAAGCGUUGUCCGGAUUUACUGGGCGUAAAGGGUGAGUAGGCGGUAACGUGUGUCAGAUGUUUAAUCUAUGGGCUCAACCCAUAUCAGCAUUUGAAACUACGUAACUUGAGUGCAGGAGAGGUAAGUAGAAUUCCACGUGUAGCAGUGAAAUGCGUAGAUAUGUGGAGGAAUACCGAUGGCGAAGGCAGCCCCCUGGGAUAAUACUGACGCUCAGACACGAAAGCGUGGGGAGCAAACAGG
rnacentral:rRNA from 1 species